CGCCCCAGUCCUUUUUAUCCACCGCCCGGGAGCUUCGGGGACUACGCAGCGGCUAGAGUACAGGGUCCCAGACGCCUCCGUCCGGCCAGGGUGGUGUUUGUGGGGAAGAGGUUCAUUUCCCCAGAGAAGCCCAGCUUCCCCGGACUCUCAGCUGCCUUCCCAAGGCAGAGCUGUGUCCUUCGGUUUGUGCCAGGCUCCCCCUCCUUGCUUCCAUUCCAGGGGCCGAAGAGUCACCACUGAGCUUGAGGAAGAGGAGGUGGAUUCUAGCUCCCAGCCCCA